rnacentral:rRNA from 1 species
GACGAACGCUGGCGGCGUGCUUAACACAUGCAAGUCGAACGGAAAGGCCCUGCUUUUGUGGGGUGCUCGAGUGGCGAACGGGUGAGUAACACGUGAGUAACCUGCCCUUGACUUUGGGAUAACUUCAGGAAACUGGGGCUAAUACCGGAUAGGAGCACCGCCUGAUGGCGGGGGGUGGGAAAGUUUCGGCGGUUGGGGAUGGACUCGCGGCUUAUCAGCUUGUGGGUGGGGUGGUGGCUUACCAAGGCUUUGACGGGUAGCCGGCCUGAGAGGGUGACCGGCCACAUUGGGACUGAGAUACGGCCCAGACUCCUACGGGAGGCAGCAGUGGGGAAUAUUGCACAAUGGGCGGAAGCCUGAUGCAGCAACGCCGCGUGCGGGAUGACGGCCUUCGGGUUGUAAACCGCUUUCGCCUGUGACGAAGCGUGAGUGACGGUAAUGGGUAAAGAAGCACCGGCUAACUACGUG